rnacentral:rRNA from 1 species
AGUGAACGCUGGCGGUAGGCCUAACACAUGCAAGUCGAACGGCAGCACAGUAAGAGCUUGCUCUUACGGGUGGCGAGUGGCGGACGGGUGAGGAAUACAUCGGAAUCUACUUUUUCGUGGGGGAUAACGUAGGGAAACUUACGCUAAUACCGCAUACGACCUACGGGUGAAAGCAGGGGAUCUUCGGACCUUGCGCGAUUGAAUGAGCCGAUGUCGGAUUAGCUAGUUGGCGGGGUAAAGGCCCACCAAGGCGACGAUCCGUAGCUGGUCUGAGAGGAUGAUCAGCCACACUGGAACUGAGCCACGCUCCAGACUCCUACGGGGGGCAGCAGUGGGGAAUAUUGGACAAGGGCCGCAAGCCUGACCCAGCCAUCCCGGGGGGGUAAAGAAGGCCUUGGGGUUGUAAAGCCUUUUUGUGGGGAAAAAAAAGCAGCAGGUUAAUCCCCCGCUGUUCUGACGGUACCAAAAAAAUAAGCCCCGGCUACCUUCGUG